UCCCUGGUGGUCCAGUGGUUAGGAUACUGCGCUUCCCCUGCAGGGAGCAUGGGUUUGAUUCCCAGUCAGGUAA
rnacentral:tRNA from 1 species